rnacentral:rRNA from 1 species
UGAGGAACAUGACUUUCGGUGGGGGAUAGCCGGCCCAACGGCUGGGUAAUACCGCGUACGACCUUUUGGGGACAUCCCCGAUUGGUGAAAGCAGCAAUGCGCCGAAAGAGUGCCUCGCGGCCUAUCAGCUAGUUGGUGGGGUAAUGGCUCACCAAGGCAACGACGGGUAGCUGGUCUGAGAGGAUGGCCAGCCACAUUGGGACUGAGACACGGCCCAGACCUCCGUACGGGAGNAG